UUCGUUCGGAUAACGUGGAAUAUUGACGAAUUAAAAAUUCACUUUUUGACGAACGCGCUGAGGAACGUGGAAAGUGGAAAAAAAAUGGGUGGGCAAAUUUUUGCCUCAUUAAAAUGGAAGGUUCUCGAAAUAUACGAAAAUCGGCUGAAUUCUUUUUGCUGCGGUGGAUUCUGAGGAACACUUUUUUUUAUAGAAACGAAUGCGCGAAGCAUCAAGUCCCACUCCCCACGAAAUUUCCAUAUUUUAUGCCAAGUACGAAAAUCUUUGUUAAAACGAAGGCCAAGUUCGAUGCCGAUGGUCACGCAUAUACACGCGUCGUAUUCAAAAUAGGCUGCGAUUAGUUUUUCGUCGUCCAACGAAAAAGGACACUAGAAGGACGCUCACGCCGUUUAUCGACCAGUCACGUUACAUGGCAGUUCUCUUUUUCUUUCGCAUCGAGUACUUCUGUAGACAUCUGUCAAUGAUGUACACCGUAUUUCCGGACAGAAGUGAUUCAUCGACGGAGAGCUUCCUGGAAACUCCAGGAACGGUCAUCGUCGAGGGAGAUGCACGCAGGGAGAAAGAGAAAGAAAGCGAGCGAGGGCGCACGAGAAGCAAAGGGUGGGGGACCGAGUCUAUUUAUCGUUGGAAAGAACUAAUGAACUGAACAGACAAUUUAGCAGUGCCGGAUCAAGCACAAAUGGCGACCAAAGUCCCCCCCACUUACGUCGGAACACCGGCAUACUGAAGAAUCCUACAGUUCAAGCUCGGACAUAAAAAUACCAUUUUUUAAAUGUAUGCGUUUGUGUCGCUCGCUUCUGGUCUGUAGAGGCCAAAAUUUCGAGGAUUCGGGAAUUUCUUAUGAUAUGAAAUUUAAGAGUUUCGGUGCACGAUGUUGGCAAGUGCCGGGAGCAAAGCAGAAAUGGCCGACCGGCGCGUCUGCCUCACGGCAUAACCACAAAGUAAACGCAAUACAGCUUUUCGGGUGAUAAUCAAAACGACUAGAGUUAGCGGAAAAAAUGCAAAAAUUUUCGUGGAAGAUUAUGUGUUGUCGAAGGAGAUGCAUCAUAAGGAAAUACACGGCAGAAAUCUUAGAGGAAAAAAGUUUGAGAAUUACGCGAUAUUCCGUUAUCGCGAGCAGCGCGACAAAAAUCUCGACACGAUGAAACGGGUGGAGGGGACACCGGUGACUGACUCAUGGCUUUUAUCGGUGUCAAAUUUAAUGUUUCUUUUUUAUUGACGUUUUCACACGGUCAACGACGAUUGUGAAUUUGCAAAAAAUAUGAAUAAACGGUGUAAGCUCCACUGAAACUUUGCACGAUCACAAAUUUGGGAAAUUGAGCGAGUUUGAAACGCGAACCGGUAUGCUUGCCGCAUUUUAGACGUUUCGAUUCACGUUGCGAAGAAAAGAUUAAUACCUAAACGCCCUAUUCUCAAUUUUCUUUUUGUUUCACACCGAGCAUGCACGUUUUAAAGAAUAGUUACCAUUUUUGCGGAAUCAGUCGUGUAUUAACAAGGAGGUACUAGAUUUUUCUUGUUUUUUUCGAGUAAACAAGCGCACUACCCGAAAACUUUUCCGCGUAUACUCCGAGAUGGGCUUUGGUAGAACU
rnacentral:lncRNA from 1 species